AUUAGUUAGUUGGUGGGUAAAGGCCUACCAAGACAAUGAUGCAUAGCCGAGUUGAGAGACUGAUCGGCCACAUUGGGACUGAGACACGGCCCAAAUUCCUACGGGAGGCUGCAGUAGGGAAUCUUCCACAAUGGGCGAAAGCCUGAUGGAGCAACGCCGCGUGUGUGAUGAAGGCUUUCGGGUCGUAAAGCACUGUUGUAUGGGAAGAAAAGUUAAGGUAGGGAAUGACCUUAGCCUGACGGUACCAUACCAGAAAGGGACGGCUAAAUACGUGCCAGCAGCCGCGGUAAUACGUAUGUCCCGAGCGUUAUCCGGAUUUAUUGGGCGUAAAGCGAGCGCAGACGGUUGGUUAAGUCUGAUGUGAAAGCCCGGAGCUCAACUCCGGAAAGGCAUUGGAAACUGGUUAACUUGAGUGCAGUAGAGGUAAGUGGAACUCCAUGUGUAGCGGUGGAAUGCGUAGAUAUAUGGAAGAACACCAGCGGCGAAGGCGGCUUACUGGACUGUAACUGACGUUGAGGCUCGAAAGUGUGGGUAGCAAACAGGAUUAGAUACCCUGGUAGUCCACACCGUAAACGAUGAACACUAGGUGUUAGGAGGUUUCCGCCUCUUAGUGCCGAAGCUAACGCAUUAAGUGUUCCGCCUGGGGAGUACGACCGCAAGGUUGAAACUCAAAGGAAUUGACGGGGACCCGCACAAGCGGUGGAGCAUGUGGUUUAAUUCGAAGCAACGCGAAGAACCUUACCAGGUCUUGACAUCCUUUGAAGCUUUUAGAAAUAGAAGUGUUCUCUUCGGAGACAAAGUGACAGGUGGUGCAUGGUCGUCGUCAGCUCGUGUCGUGAGAUGUUGGGUUAAGUCCCGCAACGAGCGCAACCCUUAUUGUUAGUUGCCAGCAUUCAGAUGGGCACUCUAGCGAGACUGCCGGUGACAAACCGGAGGAAGGCGGGGACGACGUCAGAUCAUCAUGCCCCUUAUGACCUGGGCUACACACGUGCUACAAUGGCGUAUACAACGAGUUGCCAACCUGCGAAGGUGAGCUAAUCUCUUAAAGUACGUCUCAGUUCGGACUGCAGUCUGCAACUCGACUGCACGAAGUCGGAAUCGCUAGUAAUCGCGGAUCAGCACGCCGCGGUGAAUACGUUCCCGGGUCUUGUACACACCGCCCGUCACACCAUGGAAGUUUGUAAUGCCCAAAGCCGGUGGCCUAACCGUAAGGAGGAACC
rnacentral:rRNA from 1 species